AUUGAACGCUGGCGGCAUGCCUUACACAUGCAAGUCGAACGGCAGCGGGGGAGAAGCUUGCUUUUCCUGCCGGCGAGUGGCGAACGGGUGAGUAAUACAUCGGAACGUGCCCUGUAGUGGGGGAUAACUAGUCGAAAGAUUAGCUAAUACCGCAUACGACCUGAGGGUGAAAGUGGGGGACCGCAAGGCCUCAUGCUAUAGGAGCGGCCGAUGUCUGAUUAGCUAGUUGGGGGGGUAAAGGCCUACCAAGGCGGCGAUCAGUAGCUGGUCUGAGAGGGCGAUCAGCCACACUGGGACUGAGACACGGGCCAGGCUCCUACGGGAGGAAGCAGUGGGGAAUUUUGGACAAUGGGCGAAAGCCUGAUCCAGCAAUGCCGCGUGUGUGAAGAAGGCCUUCGGGUUGUAAAGCACUUUUGUCCGGAAAGAAAUGGCUCUGGUUAAUACCUGGGGUCGAUGACGGUACCGGAAGAAUAAGGACCGGCUAACUACGUGCCAGCAGCCGCCGUAAUAC
rnacentral:rRNA from 1 species